UACAGAGGGUGCGAGCGUUGUCCGGAAUUAUUGGGCGUAAAGCGCGUGUAGGCGGCUUUGCAAGUCGGGUGUGAAAGCCCUCAGCUUAACUGAGGAAGGGCGCCCGAAACUGCAGAGCUUGAGUACCGGAGAGGAUGGUGGAAUUCCCCAAGUAGAGGUGAAAUUCGUAGAUAUGGGGAGGAACACCGGUGGCGAAGGCGACCAUCUGGACGGAUACUGACGCUGAGACGCGAAAGCGUGGGUAGCAAACAGG
rnacentral:rRNA from 1 species